GGUGGACACUCUGUUGAGUGAAACGAGAGGAGCUGCUGUGAGCUUCUUUGUCUUGGGGCUGAGAGAAUCCUUUUGGGGUGCAGAAUGGUAUGGCGUGGACACUGGUCCUCUUGAAGGAAGAAUGGGCAGCUGACUACUCCUUGCCAAGCCCUGGCCUGGAUGAAAAGUUGACUUGUUUCUUUCCCUCUUCCUCCCUAACCUGUUCUUUCUUUCCACUAGAAUCCCUGCCCAGAGUCCAGCGCCUCCUUCCUGUCCAGGAUCACCUUCUGGUGGUUCACAGGAGUUGUCUUGAAUCUGCCUGUGCUGGCCAUGUGGUCUCAGAGACACCAACUCUGUCCUGCAAGUUUAUCACCUUGAAUAUGAUAAACACAAGAGCCAUGAGCAGCUUAAAUCUCUACAGAAGGCUUGGCCUGGGAAAGCCGUACACUGGACUGCUCUUGCUUUAGCUUCAGAUUUGGAUUUCUCUAAAGGAAGGCUAUUUCCUUGUUAUUCAGAGCUGUGUCCAAGGAACAGCACCAACACCACGUGAUUACUCCUGAGAAGGGCAGAAUCCCACAUGUGCUGAAGGACAAUGUCCAUUUUCCAGAAGCUCUUCAACUAAUUCAUGAAAAAUUUGGAUGCCCUGCUCUACACCAAUGUGCUUCCACAUUUACCUUAAUUACCCAUCUAGAACUUAGCCUCAAUUUCUUCCCUGUUAAGUCCCUGAAUUUAAUUCUGCAUUAUAAGCCAUAAUGUUUCUAAUAAACUUUUAAUCAGGCUAUACCUUCUCUAACUUCCUCUCCAUAAAUCACAUGACACUAUUCAAUUACGUUAAUUUGGCCUAUAUGAUACUAUCCGAUGAAGUUAUAACAUUUUCUAUAAAACUAAAUUAUGGCCAUACAUGGCUGACCAUUUAGGGUGAUAUUCAUCUGUGGUAGAUAAAACAGGUCUGUGUUGUGAGGUACCUCAAUUUUUAAUGCCUCUCCAAUAGUGAGAAUGACAGCAAGAGCAGGAAGAUGAUACUCUAAUUCUCUUGACAUAUUUUGGCGCUGGAAGCUGAUGUUACCUUCUUUCCUAUUUCUGUCACCUGCUCUUCCCUCUACAAAUCAAUUUGACUUUACUACCCUCCUUUACAUACACCACAUACUAUUUCUUCAUUUAUUCCAUGUACACUCUGCCCCCCUCAUUCUUUCUCUUUCAUUUCCUCUUCCCUGUUUCCUGACUUGCCUCAGAUCUUGAGAGUAUCUUAAAAUGGGAACUAAUAAUUCAGCUCCUUUAGUGGUACUCUAAUAGACUCAACUGCUGACCCCUGAUUAGAUACACAACUUAUCACCAUUUUACUUCUCUUUUACUUAUUGUAUAUUUAAUAUAACACUUUCUUUAGCUAUUUGAAUAUAUUAGUGCUCAUAUUUUUUAAAAAUUCCAUCAAAUGCCUUAUUAAAAUAGUAUUCUUACCUUUUUAUGACUAUACUGGUCUUGUUUUGUUUCCAUUGGAAGGUCUAGGUUAAAGGCUCUGACACUUUGUUGGGGACACACUGUUGAGGCAAUAUCAAGCAUGAGUUUCUGUUUAAAAAAUUAUGAGUCAAAGACUUUCUUAUCAAUUUUCUUUCUUUUUUUGAAAGAGGGCCUCACUCUGUCACCAAGGGCUGGAAUGUAUUGGCAUGAUUAUGGCUCACUGCAAUCUCAACCUCCCAACCUCAAGCAAUCUUCCCACCUCAACUUCCUGAGCAGCUGGAACUUCAGCUAGGCUACUUUAUUAUUUUUGUAGAGACAAGGUCUCACUAUAUUGCCCAGGCUGGUCUCAAACUCAUGUUGGUUUUUUGUUAUUUGUCUUUUUUUCUUUUUUUUUUGGGGGGGGGGUGUUGUGGGAACAGAGUCUCACUCUGUCACCAGGCUGGAAUGCAGUGGCAUGGUCUCAGCCCACUGCAACCUCUGCUUCCUCGGUUCAAGCAAUUCUCCAGCCUCAGCCUCCUGAGUAACUGGGACUACAGGUAAUACCCCAUCAC
ensembl:lincRNA